GUUUUAGAGAGCACGUGCGUAUCAAACAGCGGGACUAACGGACGACUGGUUCAAAGCUACUGCGACUUUCAGUGGUAUUUUCACAAAACUAUAUCCCUCAUGGAGUCUGACCGGGACUGGUAUUCUCUGAAGCUUAGGUCCACUCCGAUGUCCCGGUGAUUGAAGCUGACAUGGAGUCACAGUGACAUCCUUAAAAACAGUUGUCAUGUAUAAUAUAUCUCUGUAUCUCUGAAUAUUUUUUAUUUAUUUUUUGUUUAUGUUUUAGAUUUAAGUGUUAUUGCCAUAUGUACAUUUUUCAUGAAUG